AUGGAGGUGAAGAAGAGAGCGGCAGCCAUUGCCGCCCUGUGCAUCAUGCUCCUCCUCGUGCUGCCGUCUGGGCAGCGGCAGCAGGUGGCCGCCAUGUCCGACUUCUGCAAGUGCUUCAAUGACUGCUACCCUGGGUGCAGGAGCCCCGGCGUGCCGCGCUGGCUCUGCAUCCCGCUCUGCGCCAACAAGUGCAGCCCCAACACCAACCAGGCCGGCGACAGUGUCGGCUCUGCCGCCGCCACGUGCAGGAUGGCCUGCAAGAUACACAUCUGCGACUCGUCAGAGGCGCCAGCCGAUGCAGCUGACGCCGACGUCUGCGUGCAGAACUGCAACAAGAUGAAGAUAUGGAGCCACAAGGCCCAUAAUUAG
rnacentral:rRNA from 1 species